CCUACGGGUGACAGCAGUGAGGAAUAUUGGUCAAUGGACGAGAGUCUGAACCAGCCAAGUAGCGUGAAGGAUGCCUGCCCUAUGGGUUGUAAACUUCUUUUAUAUGGGAAUAAAAUGUUCCACGUGUGGGAUUUUGUAUGUACCAUAUGAAUAAGGAUCGGCUAACUCCGUGCCAGCAGCCGCGGUAAUACGGAGGAUCCGAGCGUUAUCCGGAUUUAUUGGGUUUAAAGGGAGCGUAGGUGGAUUGUUAAGUCAGUUGUGAAAGUUUGCGGCUCAACCGUAAAAUUGCAGUUGAAACUGGCAGUCUUGAGUACAGGAGAGGUGGGCGGAAUUCGUGGUGUAGCGGUGAAAUGCUUAGAUAUCACGAAGAACUCCGAUUGCGAAGGCAGUUCACUGGACUGCAACUGACACUGAGGCUCGAAAGUGUGGGUAUCAAACAGGAUUAGAUACCCGUGUAGUC
rnacentral:rRNA from 1 species